rnacentral:lncRNA from 1 species
AAAAACAGUUAUUUGAUGAUUUAUUUCGAUUGUGUAAAGAAUGACAGUUAACGAAUCUCAAGAUCAACCACUGAAGAUUGUUUGGCUUGAUGCAAUGACCUUAAACAGUUAAAGGAUAAUCCAGGAAAGUCUAUACACCACAAGCUGGAUUUUUUGGGGUGAUGAAAGAACUAUGAAUAUGUGAAUGGGAAUGAAACAGAAGAAAUUAAUAUGUUCUGCUGAUCAUCCAGCUGAAAUCAGGCCUAUGGAAUAGAGUAUAUGUCACAAAUACUGAUAUGAGCAACUACAUAUUGCACAAAUAAGGUCAUGUUUCCUGCCCUCAUGACCUGAAAAAGUUAAACAUUCUAAUUCAAAUUACAAAUGUGUUUCAAGAAAAAGUAAAACUUAGUCAGCUGUGAGAAAUAUUGGGUUAAAGUAUUUUAUAAGUGUUUUGUUGCCAUGACAGCUGUGAAGUGGUUUGAAAAGCACUAUCUUAAUUGUUCUAACAAUAUAGAAUUUAACUUAUGAAUUUUCCAAAACUGCAUGCAUAAAAUACUAAGACAUGUCUGUUGAAUGAAUCCUAGUUGUUUCAAAACUACAACAUGUGCGACAUUUAAAGCACAACCUUUGGAUGAAACAUUUUUACAAUCAUAACUGCCUUGCCUGUGUGAGUGUAGGAAGGAUUUCCCAGAAAUGGCCAUGACAGAAAACUUCUAAUAUAGCAGAAAAUAUUUGUUACUGGCUAAAUAUAAUAAAAUUAUAUUUUAUUUCAAGAAUUAAUCAUGUAAAUCCAUGGUUGUAAUUGUGUUAAAAGAUAUUUUUACAUGAACUUUA